GGGCAAUGGUGGGCGCCCCUCCCCCAGCCUCGCUGCCGCCUUGCAGUUUGAUCUCAGACUGCUGUGCUAGCAAUCAGCGAGAUUCCGUGGGCGUAGGACCCUCUGAGCCAGGUGCGGGAUAUAAUCUCGCGGUGCGCCGUUUUUUAAGCCCGUCGGAAAAGCGCAGUAUUCGGGUGGGAGCGAGCCGAUUUUCCAGGUGCCGUCCGUCACCCCUUUCUUUGACUAGGAAAGGGAACUCCCUGACCCCUUGCGCUUCCGGAGUGAGGCAAUGCCUCGCCCUGCUUCGGCUCGCGCACGGUGCACGCACCCACUGACCUGCGCCCACUGUGUGGCACUCCCUAGUGAGAUGAACCCGGUACCUCAGAUGGAAAUGCAGAAAUCACCCGUCUUCUGCGUGGCUCACGCUGGGAGCUGUAGACCGGAGCUGUUCCUAUUCGGCCAUCUUGGCUCCUGGAUCUCUGUGUCAACCUUCUUUUAUUUUUAAAAGAUAUUCACUGUCUCUUACUAAAGCUUCCUGUUCAAAGUCUGGCUGAGAAUUUUUGCUGCUUCUUUCCCUACCUCCUCAUUUCCGAAGGAGGUACCUUUCUGGCUUCUCUGUUGAACAUUUCCUAAAUAAAGUGUGGAUGAAAAGCAAUAGAGGAAGGAAAUGCAGAAAAUUAUAAGGCUGAAAUAGAAACUGGCCACAGCAGAGAUUAAAGGUUCUUCAUUAAUUUAGACAACUUAAGGGUAUCCUGAGGAGAUGAGAUCAGGACCUUCAGAUUACGAGACUCACGCCCUGCUGGCUGCGCUAAGAGGGCUCCUGAGGAGAUGAGAUCAAACAUAGGAAGAAAAAUGGAGUCUCCAAGAUGUCCACAUUUGAAUCUCUGGAACCUGUGAAUAUGUUACUUUAUAUGGCAAAAGGAACUUUGCAGGUGUGAGAAAAGUUGAGGACCUUGAGAUGGGGAGAUCAUCCUGGAUUAUUUGAAUAAGCCCAAAUUCAUCAAAUGAAUUCUUAAAAGAACCUUUCCUCUGAGAUGAGAGUCUGAGGGAGAUGUGGCUAUGGAAGAAUGGUCAGAGAGCAAUGCAAAGCUGCUGGCUGUGAAGAUGGAAGAAGGGGCCAUAAGCCAAGAAAUAUGGUUGGUUUCUAGGAGCUGGAAGAGGCAAGAAGACAUAUUCUCCUCUAGACCCUCCAGAAGAAAUGCAGCCUCACUGACACCUUAAUUUUAGCCCUGAAAGACCCAUUUCAGAACUCUGACCUACAGAACUGUAAGAUUGUAAGUUUGUAGUGUUUUAAGCCACUAAAUUUAUGGUAAUUUAUUAUAGCAGUAACAGAAAAUCAAUAUAUGCUUUAUGCAGGUAGUACUAAAUUACAUAUUGCAGGUUUAUGUUUGUUUGAGGACAGCUCUUUCUUUAUUUUUAGAGAUAGCACCUUGCUCUGUCACCAGGCCGGAGUGCAGCAGUGUGUUGAUAGCUCACUGGAACCUCAAAUUCCUGGGCUUAAUCCAUCUUCCCACCUAUAUCUCCCACAUGCAUGUAGCUAGGACUAGAUGCAUGUGCCAGCAUACCUGGCUAAUUUUUUUUGGCUUUUUUUUUUUUUUUUUUUUUUUUUUGUAGAGAUGGGGUCUCACUAUUUUUCCCAAGCUGAUCUCAAACUCCUGUGCUCAAGCAAUCCUCCUGCGUUGGCCCUGCCAAAGUUUUCAGAUUACAGGUAUAAGCCACCACACCUGGCUGGACAGCUCUUUCAAGGACUCUCUGUUUUUAAUUUAAAAUCUAAUUUUAAUUUUAAUUUAGUUUUUUAAAUUAAAACAAUAUACUUUGAACAUCUGUGCAUCAAAAGACCCUACCAACAGAGUGAAGAGGUAAUCAAUGGCAUGGGAGAAAAUAUUUGCAGAUUAUGUAUCUUAUAUGGGAUUAAUAUUCCAAAUAAAUAAAGAACUCCUACAAAUAAUAAAAAA